rnacentral:rRNA from 1 species
GAUGAACGCUGGCGGCGUGCCUAAUACAUGCAAGUCGAGCGAACAGACGAGGAGCUUACUCCUCUGACGUUAGCGGCGGACGGGUGAGUAACACGUGGAUAACCUACCUAUAAGACUGGGAUAACUUCUGGAAACCGGAGCUAAUACCGGAUAACAUGUUUAACCGCAUGGUUCAACAGUGAAAGACGGUCUUUCUGUCACUUAUAGAUGGAUCCGCGUCGCAUUAGCUAGUUGGUAAGGUAACGGCUUACCAAUGCAACGAUGCGUAGCCGACCUGAGAGGGUGAACGGCCACACGGGUACUGAGACACGGUCCAGACUACUAAGGGAGGCAGAAGAAGGGAAUCUUACGCAAUGGGAGAAAGCCGGACGGAACAACGACGCGUGAGUGAAGAAGGAGUUCGGAUCGUAAAACGAUGUUAUUAGGGAAGAACAAAUGUGUAAGUAACUAUGCACGUCUUGACGGUACCUAAACAGAAAGCCACGGCUAACUAAGUG